CUCGAGCCUGAAAUGUCUCACUGCCGACCGGACAGAAUACAAGCCGAACAAGAAGGUCGUUUACACCUGGCACCUGAGUGGGGACCAAGGGUCGAAAAAAGACACGUAUGUGGUCGAAUAUCACCCGGGCCCUUCAGAUGACACGGUGUUUGCCAUUACGAACAAUGACAAGAAGCACCCUACGUUAGUCAAAUUUGACUACACCAAUAACAAGAACUGUGUUGUUGCCAACUUUCCGUACAAGGGCGAAGUGUGCAUACUGUGGGUGCCCAAAGCGUAUGUAUCGUCAUAUCCACAAGAAUGCGUCGAUCAUUUUGAAGACAUUUGCGACGCCGAAGUUCCCGUGUACCAAGAGGGUCUAUGUAACGAGGCUCGGAGCGGUUAAUAAAAC